UACGGAAGGCAGCAGUGGGGAAUAUUGCACAAUGGGCGCAAGCCUGAUGCAGCCAUGCCGCGUGUAUGAAAAAGGCCUUCGGGUUGUAAAGUACUUUUCAGUCGUGAGGAAGGUGUUAAGGUUAAUAACCUUAGCAAUUGACGUUAGCGACAGAAGAAGCACCGACUAACUCCGUGCCAGCAGCCGCGGUAAUACGGAGGGUGCGAGCGUUAAUCGGAAUUACUGGGCGUAAAGGGCACGCAGGCGGUUAAUUAAGUUGGAUGUGAAAUCCCCGGGCUUAACCUGGGAAUGGCAUUCAAGACUGGUUAGCUAGAGUCUUGUAGAGGGGGUAGAAUUCCAUGUGUAGCGGUGAAAUGCGUAGAGAUGUGGAGGAAUACCGGUGGCGAAGGCGGCCCCUGGACAAAGGCUGACGCUCAUGUGCGAAAGCGUGGGGAGCAAACAGGGAUUAGAUACCC
rnacentral:rRNA from 1 species